rnacentral:rRNA from 1 species
UGGGGAAUUUUGGACAAUGGGCGAAAGCCUGAUCCAGCCGUGCCGCGUGAGUGAAGAAGGCCUUCGGGUUGUAAAGCUCUUUUAGUCGGAAAGAAAGAGUUGCAAUGAAUAAUUGUGACUUAUGACGGUACCGACAGAAAAAGCACCGGCUAACUACGUGCCAGCAGCCGCGUUAAUACGUAGGGUGCGAGCGUUAAUCGGAAUUACUGGGCGUAAAGGGUGCGCAGGCGGUCUUGCAAGUCAGAUGUGAAAGCCCCGGGAUUAACCUGGGAAGUGCGUUUGAAACUACAAGGCUAGAGUGCAGCAGGGGGGAGUGGAAUUCCAUGUGUAGCAGUGAAAUGCGUAGAGAUGUGGAAGAACACCGAUGGCGAAGGCAGCUCCCUGGGUUGACACUGACGCUCAUGCACGAAAGCGUGGGGAGCAAACA